CUCUAAUUAGUUAUACAUGAAAGUGGAAUGCAUUUUGACACAUCAUGCAUAAAUGAAAAAUAAAUUCUCAUUCUUGUGCUUGAUGUAGUAUCACAAUGGUCGUGUAAUCAUUAUGCACAUAGGGUGGCAGUUAAUUUUUAUAGAACUUUGAGAAUGUUCCAUUGUCUUCUGGCUUCCACAACUUUUUCUUGAGAAGCUGGUUUUAUUGUUAUUCCCUUAAAGAUAUUUUUUUCUCUUGUCUCUAGCUGCCAAUCAGACUUCUUUCUCUUUUAUUUUCAGCAAUUAUAUUUUGAUAUACCCGGGUAUAUAUGUGUGUUGAUGUACCUAUAUGUAUACAGCUUUGUAUUAGUAUUUUGCAGUGAGUUGUUUUUUGUUUGUUUGUGGUGCCUUGUGCAUUCGAGGUAAGCACUCUACCAACUGAACUAUAUCCCCAGCCCUUGCAGUUUUUAAUCUCAUAUUUAGUGUUUUUCAUCUGUGUGUUGUCUCUUCAUAUAUUGCUUCUGCCCCGGUAUGUCUCUUUUGCUCUUGGGAUUCUGAUACUAAUGUUAAACUGAUUCACCAUGCUUUAUAAGUUCCAUAUUUUGUUAUAUUCAUGUUCUAUGCUUUUAGCUUUCCACAUUUAAAUCCAGAUUUUUUUUCUGACCCAUCUUUCAGUUUACUAAUUAUUUCUUUAGCUGGAAUCUGAUCUUCUCUUAAACCUCAUUCACUGAGUUUUAAAUUUCAAUUAUUAUAUUUUUCAGUUCUAGAAUGUCAAUGUACUUCUAUUGCCAAAAGUUUCCACUUGGCCAUUUAUAUCUUCAGAUAUAUUAAUUACAGGGUGUAAUUUUUCAAAGUUUCAUAAUUACAAUGUUUGGCUCUCCAGAGGAUCUCUCUAUGGUUACUAAAAACUAAAGAAGAAACAAACAAUCCUUGUCUUUUUCCAUGUUCUGGUUAUUUUUGUUUAGGCACUAGAUACUGAGUAUAAAACAUUGAUGUGAUAAUUUGAAUCUCUAGAUGAUGUUAUUUUCCUCCAAGAGAAUUUACUUUUGCCUCUGGCAUGUGGUUAGGCUGGGAACGGAUCAUGUAAAUCCAAUCAGAGAACAAACUCUUUCAAAGCUGGCUUUUAUUCUUGUGAUAGGUUGUCUAAUUUGGCACCAUUUUUUCUGAAAGGGUCUCUCCUGAAGGCCUGGGGUGGUUACCAGUGCUAUUCCCUUUACUGAGCCCUGAAUUUUACUUGUCUUCUUUCUUUCUUAUAAAAAUCCCUAAAGUUCUUUAUAGCUUCUAAAUCUUUCAGCCAUAAUUUUCUUCUCAGCUUCUUAGCCUACUAAGAUUUACUUCAGAACUAGAAAAUGCCUUGAAGUAAAAAGUACUGACAAAUAUCAAGCGUUUCUCUCUCUUGAGGUCUUGGUGGCAAGUCCCUUGUUCCAUUGAUAGCUCUAUAAUGCCUUCAAAUAAUUGUUUUUGAAAAAUGAUGUUUUGUCUAGAUGAGUGAUUAGAUUGAAU
rnacentral:lncRNA from 1 species